rnacentral:rRNA from 1 species
AGCAGUCGCCGCGGUAAUACAGAGGGUGCAAGCGUUAAUCGGAAUUACUGGGCGUAAAGCGCACGCAGGCGGUUUGUUAAGUCAGAUGUGAAAUCCCCGAGCUUAACUUGGGAACUGCAUUUGAAACUGGCAAGCUAGAGUCUUGUAGAGGGGGGUAGAAUUCCAGGUGUAGCGGUGAAAUGCGUAGAGAUCUGGAGGAAUACCGGUGGCGAAGGCGGCCCCCUGGACAAAGACUGACGCUCAGGUGCGAAAGCGUGGGGAGCAAACAGGAUUAGAUACCCCUGUAGUCCCUGUCUAUUAUAC